UGUAAGGUGCCUGAUUAAAGGAUAAUCUUGAUAGGAUUAAUAAUGUGACCCCCCGCCACCCUUGCAG
rnacentral:tRNA from 1 species